UGGGGGAAUUGGAAAUAGUUUAUUAUGUCACACUCUCCAGGGAAAGAGAAACCACGCAUAUCGUCCGUACAGAUCAUUUCACAGUAUCAGUACAUUGAACUGGAACAAAGCAGAACAGCAAAAGAAUGCAGAGUAAUAGUGUUGCAGUUGAAGAUGAAAGGGUAACGCAGCUAUCACCUGAAAAACAGCAUUCCUAAGUAUUUAAAAAUGCAAUCACAAGGAAAUCUGCAGAUGCUGGAAAUUCAAGCAACACACACAGAGCUGGAGAAGAAGGGGAAAUAAAUAAGGUUAGUCCUGACCAAGGGUCUUGGCCUGAAACGUCGACUGUACUUCCUAUAGAUGCUGCCUGGCCUGCUGCAUUCCACCAGCAUUUUGUGUGUUCCUAAGUAUUUACAACUUGAUUAUUAUUAGAAAUGGUAUACAGUAAUCAUCCCUAUGUGACAGCAUCUCUAAAUAGAUUCAACCACAUCAACAUUUAUUGCCUCCAGGCAAUCCAAUUAUUAAUAAAAUACAACUGAUUAACAUGAAUAACAAAGGCAUUAAAACAGUAGAGCUUAAUACUGAGAAAACUGACAUAAUUGUUUUCAGUGCCAGUCACAAACUCCAUUCUGGUACAACUGACUUCAUCUUUCUCCCUGAAAAUUUUGCAACCUUCUCUUGUGCAAUUCCACAUUUAAGUUUGCACCACAUGUGCCAUGUGCAAAAAAAAGGCACAUGUUCCCUCCGUGUUAACAGCAUGCCAAAUGAAGCACACCAGCGCCUCUACUUCCUCAGAAGGGUCAAGUAAAUUCAAUAGCUCCCCAUUGAUCCUAUAGAUGCACCACAGCUUGGUCUGGCAACCACCUUGCCUGUGAUUGCAAGAAGUGCGGAGUUAUGAACACUGAGCACAUCCUGGAUCUCAACCUCCCCUCCAAAGAUUGCCUACACUUCUUGCUGCCUCAGGAAAGCAGCCAGCAUAAUCAAAGAACCCUCCCACCCUGAACAUUCUGUUCUCUCCCUUGCCAUUAGGCAGAUUUUAAAAGCUGAAAGUAUGUACCAUCAGGCUCAGGGACAGUUCCUGUUUUAAACUAUUGAAUGGACCUCUUGUAUAUGGACUCUGGGCAUCACAAUUUACCUUGUCAUGGUCUUGCACCUUAUUGUCUGCCUGCACUGUGUAAUGUUAACACUACAUUCCACUGUUCCUUUGUAAUGCCUUGAUAAUGUGUAAUCAUCUCUAUGGACAGCAUGCAAAACAAAGAUAUUCACUGAAUCUCCAUACAUACAGUAAUAAACUAGUUUACAGUUGCCAUUGCCUGACCCUGCCUCAGCUUACCUGCAGCUGAUAACAUUGUGGCUUUUAGGACCUCUGAAUGGACUUUAGCAUUUCAGCUGGCCAGCCUAUGGGCACCACAGUAGUUAGCAUAAUGCUUUGCAGUGCCUGCAACCUGCAUUGAAUUCCUGCCACUGUAAGGAGUUUGUACAUUCUCCUCAUGACUGAGUAUCCUCUGAGUGCUUUGGUUUCCACCCACAUUCAGAAGAUGUCUGGGUUAUGUUUAGCACAUUAUGGGCAUGCUGUGUUGGUGCCAAAAGCAUGCAGAUACUUGUCCCCAGCACAUCCUUGGACUGUGUUUGUUGUUGAUGUAAACAACAUACUUCACUAUGUUUCAAAGGCCAUGUGACAUAUAAAACCAAUCUUAAACUUAAUUUUGCAUAAAAUUGUGGUCGUGCACACCUGUCAUUUCUAGUUCACACCUAUCUAUUUUGUCUUCACCCUAUUUAUUCCUCCCUCCCUAGGCUUACUAAACCACAUUGGCUUCACAGGUGGUGAUGAGUCAGUGUACAGGACACAAUAGGACACGUGGUAGAAUGGUCCUACAACAACAACUGCUCACUUAAUGCUGGCAAAACUGAUCAGUAACUCAGGAACAGAAAGGGUGAACACACCCAUCUAGAUUGCUGGAUUGGCUGUUGAGAGGAUCAACACCAUGAGAUUCCUGGGUGUAAAAAUAUCAGAUGACUCAUUCUGGGCCUACAUAGAUGCAAUCACAAUGACAACAUUCUCUACUUUCUUCAAAAGUUAAGGAGGUUCAACAUGUCACUGAGCACCCGCACAAGCUUCCACAGAUAUACCAUUAAAGGUCUGGUAUGUCUAUUUGAAUGCAGAAGAAUAGAAGAAACUGUGGAGCCUUAUCCCUCCUCCUCAUCAGAAGUAUCUGAAUGAGACACAGCAUCAAAAUAGCAGCAUAACACAAAGGCUGUCAUCAGCUGGGCCAGGCCAUCUUCUCUUGGCUACCACUGGACAGCAGAUUCAAAAGUCUGAAGUAUUACACCAGCUGGUUCAAGAUUGGCUACUUCCUUUUGGCUUUCUUUUAUUUAAUUGAACCAACAUGUUCACCCCCAAUCUCUACCUCAAUAUAGUAACGCUAUGAUCACUUAUCAUAUUGCCCUUGUCAUGGUGUACACUCGCAGGGCUGGACUCAAGUGCAGAGGAAAGGCAGGCAUAGGGGUCCCCAGCACCAAACUCAGCCCAGGAGCAGAGGGUGGCAGGCUUACAACUUGACCCCAGAGCAGAGUGUGGCAGAUUUCCUGUGAAGACACAGAAACAAGAGGUUAGACAUUCCACUGGCACCUCAAGGCACAGACACCACAAAAACAAUUCAAUCUCUGCAGCACAACAACUCUACUAAAGCACCACUCGAGACUUCUCUUUAAAUAAUCAUUUAGGGCAGGAAACAUGUGCCAGUCACAAUUAACUUGACAAGAUUAAACCAAAAACACAAGGGCUUAACGGCUCUAGUUAAGAUAACGAUUUGUAAGUACAGGUGCUCAAGAACCCUCGAAGCUCAGAAGGCUGACAGAUGGGCUGUCUGCACAGCAGAAUUUAUAGCCAUUAUUAUUAGUUUGCAAUGGGUUGAACAAGAAAAGGCAUAUAGAGUCACGAUCUGCUCAGAUUCUGCCUCAGUACUGCAGAGUUUGGAAUCUAAACAUUCAAGGAGACCUGAUCUGUUGAAGCAAGUGCACUACAAUUUAGGUGUUCUGCAGAGUGUGAGAACAGUAAUACAGUUUUGUUGGGUACUUGUAUAUGUGGAUGUUCUGGGUAAUGAAAGGGCAGAUGUCAGAAUCAGAAUCAGGUUUAUUAUCACCGGCAUGUGUCGUGAAAUUUGUUAACUUAGCAGCAGCAGUUCAAUGCAAUACAGAAGAUAGAAGAAAAAUCAAUCAAUUACAGUUUAUGUAUAUUGAAUAGAUUAAAAAUCAUGCAAAAAUGGAAAUAAUAUAUAUUAAAAAAGUGAGGUAAUGUUCACGAGUUCAAUGACCAUUUAGAUAUCGGAUGGCAGAGGGAAAGAAGCUGUUUCUGAAUCACCGAGUGUGUGCCUUCAGGCUUCUGUACCUCCUACCUGAUGGUAAACAUGAGAAAAGGGCAUGCCUUUAGUACUGGGGUCCUUAAUAAUGAUGCCAAUUUUCUGAGACACCCCGUUCCUUGAAAAUGUCCUGGGUACUUUGUAGGCUAGUACGCAAGAUGGAGCCGACUAAAUUUACAACCCUCUGCAGCUUUCUUCGGUCCUGGUAACCGCCCCCCGCCCCCCCCCCCCCCCCCAUACCAGACAGUGAUGCAGCCUGUCGGAAUGCUCUCCACUGUACAUCUAUAGAAGAUUUUGAGUAUUUUUGUUGACAUACCAAAUCUCUUCAAACUCCUAAUGAAGUAUAAUCGCCUUCUUUAUAGCUGCAUCAAUAUGUUGGGACCAGGUUAGAUGUUAUAGCAAAACAGGCAUUUACUAAGUCAGAGGUAAAUAUUAUAGGUAAUAUAGGAAGGUAUUAGAUUGGCUGGGAUUAGAAAAUGGCAGAAUUUGUGGAUAGGAGUGGGACAGGGAGGUGGUAUUACAAUUUGGUUUCAUCAAUUCAGGUGAGGUGCCUUUUGGAAAGGCUUAGGAGGGAAGAUGUGUAGUUGGCGAGAUUGAGGUUUGGACAUAUGGGUUUGCACUCCACUUUGGUACUUGUUGGUAAACACAGAGACAGUGAAACAUGUAAUCGUGGUGUUCCACAGAUAUUUGUCAGAUCUUAGGAAGCUGCCUAGGCAUUCAUUGGGUAGAUCUGUGGUGCCUAGGUUGCAGGAUUUCUGGCACCUGAAGCAGGGAUGGUUAAGUCAUGUAGGGCCCUGGUGACCUUUUUUAAUUAAAACAGGUUUGAGGAAGGAUCUGACCCCGUCAUGGCUCCUGUCAUACUCCAUUCCACUAGGUGGCGGUAAUGUACGUUCCUGAUAGGUGCGAGCUGCCAUUAGCACAACAGAAGAAGAACCCGAGAAGCUCAAAGCUCCAUGGCAAGCCACAGAGGCCAUAGCGCUCAUGACAGCACUGUAAUGAAGUUCAUUAAAUUUUUGUUCCAAUUGUGUACUUUUUUGUUUAAUUUAUGUUUAGUAUGUUUUCUCCUGAAUGUUUCACCUCUAAUACUACAUAUAUGUCUAUAAUUCUGCAUAUGUCCAAGAUGUCGGUGCGACACAGCUUGCAGCAGCCACUCCGGAGCUGAUUAUCUGUUAUUUGUGAAGUGGAGUGCCGUGUGCAAUCGUAAUUGAUUGAAAACGGACGUUGGAGCACGGAGGAACAUCAGGAAAUCUCCAGGAAGACCUUCUUCGUUGCUGCUGCUGCUGUGAAGUCUGGGACUCUGCUGGGAAGAACAGGUCCCCAGUCCUUGGGGUCGCGUUGCCGGUGGCCGUUGGCGGGGCAGUCUUAAUACGCCCGGCAGAGGAUGGUGCUCGGAGAAGCUGUGCCAGAGGGAAUAGUUGUUGGCUCAGAGGUUCGACGGACUCGGGGUCCGCUGAGGUCAGGUCGCUUUCGGUGUGUGCUGCGUCUGCGAGGCUGGGAUCGACGGAGCUUUCGUUGUGUGCUGCGUCUGUGAGGCUGAGUCGGGUGGUGCAGUGGAAGUCCAUAGUGGAGGUAUUACGUUCUGCCGCUGGCGUGGGAUUGCGAGUCUGUCGGGACCCUGGGGACUUGUGGAAACUGUAUGGUGAUUUCUUUUGAAUUUAUAGUCCUUUAACAUCUUUGGACCAUUUUUACUGUGCCCAUGGUCUGUUUUUAUUUUAUCAAUUAUGCUAUUGUUUGCACUGUUGUAACUAUAUGUUGUAACUAUGUGGUUUUGUGCAGGUCUUGUAGCUUUAGUUUUUGGUCUUGUUUGUCUGGUGGAUUUGGAGCUCCUUUCUGGGGAACGCGCUAAGAUGGUAGCGUGAUAUUAAUACGCAGCAGCCUCUCUGGACUCUGGAUUGGGGAUUGCCAAACAUUAUGUGGAUUUUCUGGUGUAGUCUGUUUUGUCAUGUGCUUUUGUGAUAUCAUUCUGGGGGAACGUUGUCUCAUUUUUUAACUGCAUUGCAUUUGUGGUUUCUAAAUGACAAUAAACUGAAUCUGAAUCUGAAUCUGCAUAUGAAUAUGCAAUCAACUUCUGGUUAAACAUUGGUUCAAUUUUAAGUUCUCGCUUUUGUUUUCAGAUGCCAGAAUGGUCUUCCCCUUCACCUUUCCAGCCUUUAAUUUUACAGGAUUCCCCGUCUUUUGCCUCUUGUUUUUUCACAACAUCUAAUUUGUUUGGCUGCUAAUGGUCCGAAGUUGUGAAUUUUUGUAUAUUAACUUCAGUCCUCUUUAAAACAUCAAUUAAUACCUUCACCUUUGACAAAACUUUGGUCGUUUGCUGUAAUAUCAGAUGAAAUGGAAAGUUUUAGUAUGUUAAAUACGCUUUAUAAAUGGAAAUUAUUCUUGAGGCUACACUCUUUGUGGAAGUUUCUUGCUUUGUAACUUAUCAAAAGCUUUUUGGUGGAUUAUGUAUGAGUUAAACAGAUCACAUUACUGGGAGUUAAGUAACCAAUAUCCUGUUGACCUUGAAACAAAGCAAUCAAGUGAGUAAGCCGAGGGCGGUUUGCCUUGCAGGAAUGCGGAGGGUUUCUGAAAUAUCUGAAUUCAGGUUCAAUUUUUAAUGAAAUACUCUUUUGUGAGGCACCUUAAGAAUACUUUCCAGGUUUUGGAUGCUGUACAAAUGCAAAUGAUAAAAUUUACUAAUGAAUGAUAUGAAAUUUCAUGUCAUAGACUGGUGGCAUUGACCUCCCACAUCAUGAAGACCCUGGAGAGACUUGUUCUAGAGCAGCUCCAGCCUAUGGUUAGGCCACACUUAGACCCCCUCCAGUUUCCCUAUCAGCCCCGACUAGGAGUUGAGGAUGCCAUUGCCUACCUGCUGAACCGUGUCUAUGCCCACCUGGACAAGCUGGCAAGCACUGUGAGGGUCAUGUUUUUUGACUUCUCCAGUGUUGCAUGCCAUCUUGGACAAUGACUCCCAUCCACUCCAUAAUGUACUGCUUAGGCACAGGAGUACAUUCAGCCAGAGACUCAUUCCACCGAGAUAUAACGCUGCGCGUCAUAGGAAGUCAUUCUUGCCUGUGGCCAUCAAACUUUACAACUCCUCCCUCGGAGUGUCAGACACCCUGAGCCAAUAGGCUGGUCCUGGACUAAUUUCCACUUAGAAUAAUUUACUUAUUAUUAUUAUUUAAUUAUUUAUGGUUUUAUAUUGCUAUAUUUCUACACAAUUCUUGGUUGGUGCGGCUGUAACAAAAACCAGUUUCCCUUGGGAUCAAUAAAGUACGUCUGUCUGUAAAAAAGACGGAGCAAAAGAUUGUGUGGCUGGAGAGAUGGUGAAGGAGUUCUCUGACAUUUGUGUACAAGUCAUGUGGAUCUUGCAUCAACUGCGCCAGAACCAGCAUCCAAACAGGGCAGAUCGCAGGUAAUUUUGUGGAGGGUUAAACUAGUUUGGUGGGGGGAAGGAGCCAAAGAAACUGAGAGAAGAGACACCUUGGAGAGAAAGCUGGAAGUGGGAGUUAAGAAUAAGGUAAGCAUAUUAAAUUAGCAGAAGGUACAGUAGAGUAGCAUGUAGAGUUUGCAUCACCAUUGGUGCUGGUGAUGCAAAAAGACUAAAUAAACUCAUCAGAAAGGCUUGGCUGCAAAUCCUCUUACUAUCUUUUCUUUCACUUAGUCCUGACGAAGGGUCUCGGCCCAAAAUGUUGACAGUUCUUCUUCCUAUAGAUGCUGCCUGGCCUGCUGCAUUCCACCAGCAUUUUGUGUGUGUGUGGCUACAAACCGGAUGGACUCUUUUGAGUUAGUGGUGGCGAGGAGGUCACAAAACAAACUGUUAUCCAUUAUGGACAAUCUGGCACAUCCUCUCCGUGACCUACUGAAUAAGCAGCGAAGCACCCUUUCAAACAGACUCAUUCAGCUCCGCUGUCACAAGGAUUGUUACAGAAAAUCUUCCCUAACAAACGUAAUAAGCACAUACAACAGUUCAUCUGUGUGCGACAGGAACAUGCACAUCAUAGUACAAUAGUAUCUGCUUUAGUAUUUUGUGGAUUUAUCAUUCCACAUUAUUGCACAUUGGUAAAUUAUGACUGUGUAUGUUAUUAUUCUGUGCUUUUUUAUUAGUUAUGUCUGCACACUGCCGAGUGUGUUGUUAAAUGUUGCUUCUGUAAUUAAAGAAUU